CCAAGUAAAGGCAAGAGCUUGAUCUGAGAAAUAUACAGCAGAACACAUCUUUCUCAUCUAGCUCUGUUUUACAAGGGAACCUAUGGUGGAGUUCUCAAUAAAUGUAUUCAAUGGAAUUCUUACAAUUCACUGGGACAAAAAGUCUUCCAAGAUGCCUCCAUGGUUAGAAGGAGAAUUCUAAAAGGCUGUGUUUUAAGAAUCAGUGAUGUCAAAUGACACAGAAUUCUCCAGUGAUGUCACUAGGAGCACUUUGUGUGAAGACUGGGAAAAAAAAUUUUGCUCUUUGAUGCAUCUUCUGCACCAGGUAUGUGGAACCAGUUCUAUUCUUUUAUGCCAGUGUAAAUCCAAAAUAACUCAGUAAAAGUCAUCGAGUUGCUUCAGAUUUACACAGUUGCAAAUGGGAGCAGAAUUUGGUGUGUUUUCGGAUAUUUAAGUGAGCAAGUGUUCGUCCUGAGUCAUUUUGUUUAAAUUUAAUUUUUGCUGUUUGGUGUACAUUCUCAUGACGCUGCACAAUAGGAAAAGAGGGUGAGAAGAAUGGGAAAUUGUGGAGAUACAUGUCCAAGGAGUAAUUUAUACACCUUCAAAGUACACAAAUUAAGAGGUCACACACAG